AUUGAACGCUGGCGGCAGGCCUAACACAUGCAAGUCGAGCGAGCGGCGGACGGGUGAGUAAUGUAUGUGGAUCUGCCCGAUAGCGGGGGAUAACUACUGGAAACGUUGGCUAAUACCGCAUCCCAUCUUAUUAACCCCUAUGUGAGUGUCUAUGAGGUGGGGUAAAGGCUCACCUAGCCGACGAUCUAUAGCUGGUCUGAGAGGAUGAUCAGCCACACUGGGACUGAGACACGGCCCUGACUCCGACGGGAGGCAGCAGUGGGGAAGAUUGGACAAUGGGCGCAAGCCUGAUGCAGCCAUGCCGCGUGUAUGAAGAAGGCCUUAGGGUUGUAAAGUACUUUCAGCGGGGAGGCGUUACCCGCAGAAGAAGCACCGGCUAACUCCGUGCCAGCAGCCGCGGGAAUUC
rnacentral:rRNA from 1 species